AUAUCAAUAAGCGGAGGAAAAGAAACCAACAGGGAUUGCCCUAGUAACGGCGAGUGAAGCGGCAACAGCUCAAAUUUGAAACCUGGCGCUUGCGUCCGGAUUGUAAUUUGUAGAGGAUGCUUCUGGGCAGCGGCCGUUCUAAGUUCCUUGGAACAGGACGUCAUAGAGGGUGAGAAUCCCGUAUGUGACCGGCGCGCACCCUCCACGUAGCUCCUUCGACGAGUCGAGUUGUUUGGGAAUGCAGCUCUAAAUGGGAGGUAAAUUUCUUCUAAAGCUAAAUAUUGGCCAGAGACCGAUAGCGCACAAGUAGAGUGAUCGAAAGAUGAAAAGCACUUUGGAAAGAGAGUUAAAAAGCACGUGAAAUUGUUGAAAGGGAAGCGCUUCCAACCAGACUCCGCGGCGGUGUUCCGCCGGUCUUUUGACCGGUCCACUCGCCGCCGUGGGGCCAACAUCGUCUGGGGCCGCUGGAUAAGACCGGAGGAAUGUAGCUCAUUGAGUGUUAUAGCCUCCGGUGAUGCGGCGCGUCCCGGGCGAGGUCCGCGCUUCGGCAAGGAUGUUGGCGUAAUGGUUGGCAGCGGCCCGUCUUGAAACACGGACCAAGGAGUCUAACAUCUAUGCGAGUGUUCGGGUGUCAAACCCCUACGCGUAAUGAAAGUGAACGGAGGUGGGAGCUUCGGCGCACCAUCGACCGAUCCUGAUGUCCUCGGAUGGAUUUGAGUAAGAGCAUAGCUGUUGGGACCCGAAAGAUGGUGAACUAUGCCUGAAUAGGGUGAAGCCAGAGGAAACUCUGGUGGAGGCUCGCAGCGGUUCUGACGUGCAAAUCGAUCGUCAAAUUUGGGUAUAGGGGCGAAAGACUAAUCGAACCAUCUAGUAGCUGGUUCCUG
rnacentral:rRNA from 1 species